AAACGGCGCGAAUUUGUGUUGAGUUUUGCAUAUCAAUCUUGUGCAGGGGCCAUGCUAAUCUUCUCUGUGUUGUUCCAAUUUUAGUAUAUGAUC
rnacentral:snRNA from 1 species